GAUGAACGCUGGCGGCGUGCCUAAUACAUGCAAGUCGAGCGAACAGACGAGGAGCUUGCUCCUCUGACGUUAGCGGCGGACGGGUGAGUAACACGUGGAUAACCUACCUAUAAGACUGGGAUAACUUCGGGAAACCGGAGCUAAUACCGGAUAAUAUAUUGAACCGCAUGGUUCAAUAGUGAAAGACGGUUUUGCUGUCACGUAUAGAUGGAUCCGCGCCGCAUUAGCUAGUUGGUAAGGUCACGGCUUACCAAGGCAACGAUGCGUAGCCGACCUGAGAGGGUGGUCGGCCACACGGGAACUGAGACACGGUCCAGACGCCUACGGGAGGCAGCAGUAGGGAAUCUUCCGCAAUGGGCGAAAGCCUGACGGAGCAACGCCGCGUGAGUGAUGAAGGUCUUCGGAGCGGAAAGCUCUGUUAUUAGGUAAGAACAAAUGUGUAAGUAACUAUGCACGUCUUGACGGUACCUAAUCAGAAAGCCACGGCUAACUACGUG
rnacentral:rRNA from 1 species